AUGCGGACGAUGCCAUGGAAGGGCCACCAUGACCAGGAGCAGGACGACGCCUUGGAAGGUUCACCGAUAGGAGCAACUACGUACGGUCUGGUCUUCUCCACUAACAGGGAUAUCGACAUGGAGGUCCGCCAUGGAAGGCCUGGAGCUCGUCAUGGAGGGUCCCUCCUCUCUCUUCCCCUCCCUCUACUCUGUUGGUUGGUUGGACGGAAGACCACCGCUCGUCAGGCUCUGCUUCUUCCACCGCUGCUCCCCUCCCACCAUAGUGCCACAGACGCUAUGCCAAGCACGGAAGGGGUGGAUGCCAAUACUCUUAGAAUGGUCAUUGGAGCAAUAUACACAACAGUGAUGUUUGUCGGCAUCAACAACUGUGCAACCGUUCAACCAAUUGUUUUAAUCGAGAGAACAACUUGUACAAAGAGAGGGCUGCUCCAUUGCUCAGCUACUUAUGCAGCGAAGGUACAGGUUCUAGAUGGCUCUGUAGACAGUGAGAAUGAGGAAACUCAAACUCAUGAAGAUUCUAAUGAGGAAAUCGAUUAUGAUAAAUAA
rnacentral:rRNA from 1 species